rnacentral:rRNA from 1 species
CACUAGUUUGAUUCUAACUAUAAUAUUAAUUUUAUCUAAAAAUAGAUACAUGCAAAAAUUUUUUCUCCCGUGAUUAAAUCAAUUUAUAUAAUUUUUGCUUAAAGCAUAAAAUAUAUUAUUACAAGGUUAAUUCUUAAUUUUAUUACAAUAUUUAAAUUAUUCUUUUUCACGCCUGCAGUACAUAAUACUAUAUAUAAAGAAAAUUUGAUAUGAUUUUAUGAUGAUUUAGGGUUGGUAAAAUUCGUGCCAGCUACCGCGGUUAAACGAUAAACCCAAAUUAAUACACCCGGAACCAAAUUAUAUGGUCCUAAAUAUUUUGAUAAAUAAUAUAAAUUAGAUAGGGGUAUAAUCCAAUUCACUAUAAUUUUCCUUGUAUUAUCAUUUUAAACCACCAUGAAAGCUUAGACCAAAACCAGGAUUAGAUACCCAAUUAUUCUAAACAAUAAAUAAAGUAACCAGGGUACUACUGUUACAUAACUAAAACCCAAAGAAAUUGGCGGCAUUCUAACGUCCCAGGGGAACCUGUUCUUUAAACGAUAAUCCACGAAAACCUUACUUUUUCUAGCUAUCAGCUUAUAUAUUGCCGUCGAUUUUAGUUAACCUUGUAAAAGAUAGUUAACCAAAAGGUAUUUCUACCUAUACGUCAGGUCAUAAUAUAGCCAAUGAAAAAGAAGCAAUGGGUUACAUUUAUACUAUAACAUAAUAUAAUCUUAAAAUUUUAUAUCAAGAAGGACUUGGAAGUAAAUUUUAAUUAACUUAACAAAAUUGAAUAUAGAAUCUAGAAUGAGCACAUAUCGCCCGUCGCCCUCACCGAAAGGGGAGGUAAGUCGUAACAUAGUAGGUGUAACGGAAGUUGCACCUAAAACCAA